AACGAACGCUGGCGGCAUGCCUAACACAUGCAAGUCGAACGAGACCUUCUGGUCCAGGGGCGCACUGGAGCGUAACGCGAGGGAACCUUCCCUUAUGGUCGGUAUAACUCCCCGAAAGGGGUGCCAUUACCGAAUAAUUUCUACUGCCGAAUGAUUUAUCGCCUUUUGAGGGUCCCGCGUGGGAUUCGCUAGUUGGUCGGGUAAAAGCCAACCAAGGGGACGAUCCCUAGCUGGUAUGAGAGGAUGAUCCGCCACACUGGGACUGGCACACGGCCCAGACGCCUACGGAAGGCAGCAAUGGGGAAUAUUGGACGCUGGGCGAGAGAAUGAUCCAGCCAUGCCGCGUGAGUGAUGAAGUCCUUAGGAUUGUAAAGCUCUUUUAACCGGGAUGAUAAUGACAGUACCGGGAGAGUAAGCGCCGGCUAACUCCGUG
rnacentral:rRNA from 1 species